AACGAACGCUGGCGGCAUGCCUAACACAUGCAAGUCGAACGAUUGCCUUCGGGUGAUAGUGGCGCACGGGUGCGUAACGCGUGGGAAUCUGCCCUUAGGUUCGGAAUAACAGCUGGAAACGGCUGCUAAUACCGGAUGAUAUCGCGAGAUCAAAGAUUUAUCGCCUGAGGAUGAGCCCGCGUUGGAUUAGGUAGUUGGUGGGGUAAAGGCCUACCAAGCCGACGAUCCAUAGCUGGUCUGAGAGGAUGAUCAGCCACACUGGGACUGAGACACGGCCCAGACUCCUACGGGAGGCAGCAGUGGGGAAUAUUGGACAAUGGGCGCAAGCCUGAUCCAGCAAUGCCGUGUGAGUGAUGAAGGCCCUAGGGUUGUAAAGCUCUUUUACCCGGGAAGAUAAUGACUGUACCGGGAGAAUAAGCCCCGGCUAACUCCGU
rnacentral:rRNA from 1 species